GGGGGCGCGCCGGUCUCCCGGAGCGGGACCGGGUCGGAGGAUGGACGAGAAUCACGAGCGAUGUGGCCCUGGCGUUGAGUUUGUGGCUGUGGUCGCUUCGGGGCCCCGGUGGCGGGACCAGGGGCUCGUGAGAAAUACUAGGCUUUAGAAUUUCACCAUAUGAAUUUUGGGAGAGAGGAGCACAGUUCAGCCCAUAACUAACACACGACGGAAUGAAGUUGAUAAUAGUGAGACCUUGUUGGUACAAGACUAUGUAACAUAACCUGCGCUUCUCAACAAAGAAUUGCUUUUCUGACUUCUGCACUCAGUUCUUUCCUCCAGCUCACUUUAUUGUAAGAACCUUGGUGUCUGUAAUCGGCUCGGAACCCUUGCUGCUCUUUCACUGAAUAUCGCUGUCUGGAGGUUACUUGGUACACUGGUCGACAAAACCUUGAAAUGUUGAUGUUUAAGGGCUGUUGAUUGCUGGCAGCAAAGAAGUCCAACUGUGCUGGUACCCGAGAUAGCGUCUCCACAUUUUCUUCCAGGAUCAUCACCUUUGUUCUAAAUAGCUCCCACAUAGUGUGAACAGAAGUCAUAUGUUUUAGAUUUUCUGCCUUGGCACCCAGGAAACCAGUAUGAUUGAGUAAACAUAUUAAACUUCCUCUGCAUUUCCAGCCUGAACAGAUGUUGAGUACAAGCUGAUCCACCUACGUUCAACCUGAGAGAGUCCACAUCCACAGACUGUUUCAUUUCCCUUUUUCAAUUUACAUAGAAGCAUAGAUUCUUGCUGGCAUAUACAAAUGCGCCAUUUAAGGCAAUCAAAAAUGGUUCCACAUCUCAUCUGAUUUCCACAAUUGUUGCUGUAACGAUGGACUACUGAGGAGAGAGACAAUUUCUCUGGCACAUCUUCCCACAUUUUAGCAACAUGUUCAUGGAGAGCCAAUAUUCAGUAAUUACAGCCCAAUUCCUCACAAUUUCACAAUUCGCUAACAAUAUGCAUUUUCACAAUGUAAAGCUGAUUUUCCUUUAACCAAAUCAAACAUGAAAAGAUAGCUGCAUGCAAUGGGCAAUCUAGAUCAUUAGAAGAUUGAUGUAAAAUUAGAGGACACUGAGACUGGAAUAGAUUGCAAACUUCAGGGAGCUCAGAAAACUUGUAAACUCUACAUUUUGAGGAAAUAUGUUGUCGAUGCUUUUGCAACUCUAUGCAGUAACUUAACAAAUAAAGCCUUAAAGUA
rnacentral:lncRNA from 1 species